rnacentral:rRNA from 1 species
AUGAUUCGCGGUCCGGAGCGCUCGGCGCUGUCCGUGGCGGCGGCAACGCGCCUCGCGUGCUGGGCCGCGCUGCUCGUCGCGGUGUCGGCCGGCCUGAUUGGCGGCCACCGCGUCUCCGCGACGGCGCUGGCGCUGCGGCCCGAGGAUAGCCUCGCGCGGCUCCCGUACGGGGUCCGCGGCGGCGGCGGCGCGGAGGACCCGGAGGCGGCGCAGGGGUGGCUGCCGUGCCGGGACGGCGCGGCGAGCGCGCGGACCUGCGAGGAGCUGGGCGGCGCGGGGUCCUUCGACGCCGUCUGCGUCAUCGCCUCCAGCACCACCACCCUGUCGGGCGACGUCUGCGCGCACGGGACCGGCAGCGUGGAGGUCCGCGCCGGGGUGAGCAUCGCCUGCCGGGUCCCCGGCUGCCGCCUCGUGUUCAACGUCUCCGGGAGCAUCGCGGUCGGCGAGCGCGCCGAGCUCGUCGCCGGCUCCGUCGGCCUGCACGCCGCCAACGUCUCGCUGGGCCGCGGCUCCGCCGUCAACACCACCGGCCUUGCCGGCGCGCCCCCGCCCCAGACGUCCGGGACGCCGCACAGCCUCGAGGGGGCCGGCGGCGGGCACGGCGGCCGCGGCGCGUCGUGUAAGGUCUCCAACGACACCAACUGGGGCGGCGACGUGUACGCGUGGGCCUUCUUGGACAAUCCGUGGAGCUACGGCAGCAAGGGGGGGAGCUUGACUGCUGACGAGAACCUUGGAGGGGACGGCGGAGGCCGUGUCUUGCUCAGGGCGAGUGAGAUUUUGACAGUUGAUGGAGUUGUGCUUGCUGAAGGAGGCGUGGGCAGUCUCCGAGGGGGCGGUGGGUCCGGCGGGAGCAUUAUGAUCAAGGCUUUCAAGCUAUAUGGAAAUGGUACAAUAAGUGCUGGGGGUGGUAAUGGAUGGGGCGGAGGAGGUGGUGGGAGGAUAUCCCUAAAAUUUUACAGCAUUCAGCAAGAUUUGGAAAUUAUAGCUCACGGUGGACAGAGUUUUGGGUGCCCCCAGAAUGCUGGUGCAGCAGGCACAAUAUAUGAUAAAUCAUUGGAGACUCUAAAGGUCAGCAAUGGAAACUUCACCACGCAUACGGAAACUCCAUUGCUGGGUUUCUCAGUGACUAAACUUUGGUCCAAUGUGCUUGUGGAGAGCAAUGCAAAAGUGCUGGUUCCCUUGUUGUGGUCCAGAGUACAGGUGACAGGGCAAAUAAGGCUACUUACUGGGGGUAGCAUUUGCUUUGGGUUGUCUGAAAAUCCAAUAUCAGAGUUUGAGCUGGUUGCAGAGGAGCUUCUAAUGAGUGACUCUGUUAUAAAGGUGUAUGGUGCUUUCAGAAUGUAUGUGAAGGUGCUCUUGAUGUGGGAUUCGAAGAUUCAGAUAGAUGGUGGGGGUAAGGAUGUUGUUCUUGCAUCAAUGCUUGAGGCAAGAAACCUUGUCGUACUCAAGCAUGGGUCAGUGAUAUCUUCCAAUGCUGCUUUGGGAGUUUAUGGACAAGGACUUCUUAAUUUGAGUGGUCCUGGAGAUGGAAUCAAAGCACGCCAACUGUUUCUGUCUCUGUUUUACAACAUUGAAGUUGGUCCUGGUUCCGUUGUCCAGGCUCCACUAGAUGAGGAUGUUCGAAGCAGCUUGGAUGCACUUUCGAUCUGUGAAAGUAAAACAUGCCCUAGUGAGUUAAUCGCACCCCCCGAUGAUUGCCAUGUGAACAGCUCCUUGUCAUUUACAAUACAAAUUUGCCGUGUUGAAGACAUAACUGUCGGUGGCAUAGUCAAGGGGAGUAUAAUUCAUAUUCAUCGAGCAAGAACCGUGACUGUUACAGAUGGUGGUGCAAUAAGUGCCUCAGAGUUAGGUUGCAAAGCAGGCAUUGGUAGAGGAACAUUUCUUAAGUAUGGAGCUGGUGGUGGUGCUGGUCAUGGAGGCCAGGGUGGUAUAGGGAUUUACAACGGAAUGACAAGUGAAGGAGGUCAACGAUAUGGCAGUGCUUAUCUUCCAUGUGAGCUAGGAAGUGGUACUGGUUCUCCGGAGUCAGGCGAUGACAGGGCUGGUGGGGGAUUGAUAGUCAUUGGAUCCAUGAAAUGGCCACUUGCAAGAUUGUUAAUUUAUGGCUCUGUGAGCUCUGAUGGUGAAAGCAAUAGAGACACAAUUGGAAAUUCCAGUGGGUCCUUCAAAGGUGGCAUUGGUGGCGGUUCUGGAGGAACAAUUCUCUUUUUCCUUCAAGGGCUUCUGGUAGAGAAAAAUUCAUCAUUGUCAGCAUCUGGAGGCAAAGGAGGCAUACAUGGUGGAGGUGGCGGUGGUGGUGGCAGAAUACACUUCCACUGGUCAAAUAUUGCUACUGGAGAUGAAUUUGUUCAGAUUGCAUCUAUCAAUGGUACAGUAGCAUCAAGUGGAGGUUCUGGUAAUGAUGAUGGGCAUUUUGGAGAAGAUGGAACAAUAACAGGAAAGGAGUGCCCUGUGGGACUAUAUGGAACAUUUUGUACCGAAUGCCCAGUUGGAACAUAUAAAAAUGUUGCUGGGUCCAACUCAUCUCUCUGCACCCCUUGUUCUUUGAAUGCUCUUCCAAACCGUGCUGACUUCAUAUAUGUAAGAGGUGGUGUUACCCAGCCAUCCUGCCCGUAUAAGUGCAUAUCUGCUAAGUACAAGAUGCCAAAUUGUUACACACCACUUGAGGAAGUUAUAUAUACUUUUGGGGGUCCUUGGUCUUUUGCAGUUUUCCUAUUCUUUGCAAUUAUUCUUUUGGCACUCAUCUUAAGUGCCGUAAGAGUUAAGAUUGGUGAGAGUGAAGUCACGUAUCGGGCUACAAGUGCAAUCCACAAUGAUGCCUAUGCUUCUUCGCCUUUUUUGCUUUCAUUGGCUGAGGUACCUGGGGCCAGCAGGGCAGAAGAAACACAAAGCCAUGUCCACAGAAUGUACUUCAUGGGACCUAAUACAUUCCGAGAACCGUGGCAUCUUCCUUACUCGCCCCCUGAAUCUAUAAUUGGCAUUGUGUAUGAAGAUGCUUUUAAUCGUUUUAUCGAUGAGAUAAAUUUGGUAGCAGCCUUUGAGUGGUGGGAAGGUUCUGUGCAUAGUAUACUUGCAGUACUUGCAUAUCCUUGUGCCUGGUCUUGGAAGCAAUGGCGCAGAAGAAAGAAAAUCCAUCGUCUUCAAGAAUACGUUAAAUCUGAAUACGACCAUUCAUGUCUUCGCUCUUGCAGAUCACGGGCUCUAUAUAAAGGGCUGAAGGUUGGUUCAACUCCAGACUUAAUGGUCGCUUACAUUGAUUUCUUUCUGGGAGGUGAUGAGAAACGACUUGAUGUAGCGGCCACAAUCCAGAAGAGGUUUCCCAUGUGUUUAAUUUUUGGCGGUGAGGGGAGCUAUAUGUCCCCAUACCACCUACACAGUGAUACAUUACUGUCAAAUCUUCUUGGCCAGUAUGUGUCUACUGCGAUUUGGAACAGAUUAGUAGCUGGCUUGAAUACUCAGUUGAGGUCAGUAAAGCAAGGCAGCAUCCGGUCAACUCUGGGUCCGGUUGUUUCUUGGAUUAAGAGUCAUGGGAAUCCCCAACUUGAGCGACAUGGUGUUCGAGUAGAGCUAGGGUGGUUUCAGGCCACUGCUUCUGGUUAUUACCAGCUAGGUAUUGUUGUAGCAGUGAAUGAAAACUUCUACAAGAGUCACCACCAUCAUGAGCAUGCCCCAGAUUUUGGUGACCGCUCGAGGAAGAAUUUUGCAGUUCCACUACUGGGUUCCAAGCAGGCAAUUCAGGAUCAGCCUUGCACAAGCUAUGGUGUUUCCAGAAAGCGGUUGACAGGCGGAGUGACUGGUGGGGUCAUAAACGAAGAGACACUGAAGUCACUGGACUACAAAAGAGAUUAUCUAUUCCCUCUGUCGUUGCUCUUGCAAAAUUGCAGGCCUAUUGGCUAUGCGGAAACACUGCAGUUGCUUAUUUGUAUUGUACUUGUGGGUGAUUUUACCAUCACCCUGCUUAUGCUUGUACAAUACUACUGGAUAUCUGUUGGAGCUUUCCUUGCUGUACUGCUUAUUCCACCCCUUGCUUUGCUUUCCCCUUUUCUUGCUGGCCUCAAUGCACUUUUCAGCCGAGGACCAAAAAGAUCUUCUGUCACCCGCAUUUUUACACUUUGGAAUACUACUUCUGUCAUAAACAUUAUUGUAGCAAUCGUCUAUGGUGCUAUGUACUCUGGGCUAUCUUCUUUGACAGUGUCUUCAGCUCAGGCAUCAAACACCAAAAGCUUCAAGGGUAGGGAUGACGAUGGAUGGUGGAUACUGCCAGUUGUCCUGUUUGUCGUCAAGUCGCUUCAAGCCGGAUUGGUCAACUGGCACAUAGCAAAUCUGGAGAUCCAAGAUCAUUCCUUGUUUAGCCCUGACCCGGACAGAUUCUGGACAAUGUAG